GCCAUAUCAGCCUCCUGACCUCUAGGCGGCGCUGGGUGAUCAAGGAUUGAGUAGGAGCCGUGUGAAGACAGAGGGGGCGGGAAGCGCAGGCCGCCAUGGAAGGAAAGCGGAAACCGUCCCUCGCUGCGCGGGAAGGACUGGUUCACCUCUCUCGCCUCCGGGCCGUGUUAACCGCUGUGUUCACGGAGAAUUCACGAGUUUAAUAAGACAGAUUUCAUCACUGCGUGUCUCCUCCGACUCUGCAAACCAGCCGCCGGGUGCGGCGCGCGCCACCGUGCCCUGAGGAUGCUGCGACGCCUCCUGGUUGGCGGCCAUGGGUGGAGGCAGGCGGGAGUCUUCUCUGCAGCCGGCGCGUGGGAGGCGAGGAGGUGGGAGCAGAUGACGACACGAAGAGUCUACUUUUCCCGGGCCUUAUCUGCAAAAGGGGAACAAUGCAGUGGGAAAAUAACUCAGUCCGAAUCCUGGAUGCGUAAUCCAUCCCAGACCGCUCCCAAGCAAAUUCUGGUGGCAGCCACUCCAUUCUGGCUUAAUCAAAUCAAGCCCAUUUCUCUGAAGCACAGUGGGAGAACUCCAGAGCCUGCGCAGCUUGGGGCUCUUCCAGGGAUGAAUGAUAACCAUAAACACGAAGAGGAAACAACAUUGCAGAAGAUAGUGUGGGGAUUUGAAGGCAGCGAUGCGCUGGAAUGCAGUCACUGGAGAAAUUUGUCCUGGCGAGGGAACUGGCACUCUGAUCAAAGCCCCCCCUGCACAGGGUAUUUUAAAAGAUUGUCUUCUGCCGAUUAAUCCUCCCACCAGUCUUCUGUAUGUGAGUCAAAAAGUUGUUUUUUAAAAUAAAACCAGGUUUAAUCUCAUUAAAGUGUUUGGUAAAAGGUAUCUGCCAAUGGGAUUUCCUUAAACCUGCUUUGAAACUUUAUACCUCAAAAUGUUUAAUUUUGUGACAUUUGGUGGUUUCACAUGGUAGUUAGUGGUUUCAGACCUGGAGCUUUAGACAGGGUUAAUGCAAGUAAGCAGGUUUGCAGCAGAGGAGGGAGGAGGGCGUGACAGAAUUUGGAGGCCACGUGGGGUAGCCAAUCGCAGAGAGGGCUGGGAUUUCGGUCAUCCCCUCUAAAAUCCGAGACGCUGGAACUAUUUCUGUGGACGGCUGCUGUGCUGUGUGGUUCCUGCUUUUCCUCGGGGGCGCUGCUCUCUCGUCGUUGGUAUGGAUAUAAGGCGGUCCAGCAUGGUGACGUUGCGCUCACUCUGGACACUUGGGAAUGGGACCAAAGUUUAAAACGGAAACAUGCAAACGUGUGGAUAUUUAUUUGGGUCCCGUUGUCAGUGCUGGAUGUUGCCGUUCCCUUUGGUAUUGAAGGAUAUAUAAAAGGAGGAAGGCUCUUGUUUCAUGGCAGUGAACUUUUCCUCGCUGUCCUCCUGCUUCCCAAAUCCCCACAGACCCAACGUUUAAGGCACAGUGCGUUCUCUUCAGCACUAGACAUGUUGGUCCAGAGGAAAUUAAGGUUUUCAUUUUAACGUUGGGGGAGAUUUCUGCACGAACUGUAGUUGAAUGUCCUCAAGGUAACUAAGAGAGGUGGUGGUGGGGGGGCACCUAAUGGAAAAGAUGAGGCGUGCUCAUUUGCUAGGGGAAAUUGAUCAGGAAUAGUGAUUUCCUGAUGGAUUCUGGAGUUGGAAAUAUGGUGUGGUCUUAGUCUUAAUGCCCUGGGAGAAAGUGAUCUCCCUGUGCUGAUCUUUUAAUGGAGGGAGAUUUUUGCUGGAUGCCACAGUGGAAUCUCCUAGGUGCCUCCUCCACUUCUGUGAUGUGUUGUUCUCUUUGCUGUACACAGUGUUUGUGGUCUGCCAACCCCUGAAGAAAACUGACAAUAAGCAAUGUUUUCUUACAAAGAACAUACAGUGGGACUCUGAACCAGGCAUUGCUUUUUUAGACAAUAAAAAUUAAACUUGAUUAAAGUUCAGAAACAUAGGAGAAGCCACCCAGGCUUAUUUUUUAUACUUGCGUCAGAUGCUUGUACUUACUGUACAGCAAAAUGUCAGUUUCAGUGAUGUGGGCUUUAAAAUGAAUAGAUUGCAACCACAAUUUACAGCAAACAGCAAGACUUUAUAUAGUUUAGUCAGCAGUGAAACAGAUGCUUAUUGAAUGAGCUGUUAUAAUGUACGCACUGCCGUGCAAACGUCUUAGACGAGACAUUUUGCAUUAAUUCUGAUCUUUUCAGUGAGUGUUUUCUUUUUCUGCAGGAACUCAAUUUAAUGUCGGUCUUCUGGAAUAUUACUUGUUUUGUUUUAAGCCUGCUAUUAAUCCUGACAGAUCUGUAUUUUGUAGUAAAAAAUGUAUCCCUUUAGCUUUCUGGCUGUGUAAAGAGGAACAGGUGAUGUUGAUGACGAGACGCUCCUGAUGAGUCAAUUAGACUUGAUGGGUAAAUGUGAUGGAUGAGCUGCUACAACACUUCAUAUUGCCUGCUCCUAUAUAGAUGACAUUGAGUUCGGAUCAAUGUGGAUUAAAUAUGCUAA